rnacentral:lncRNA from 1 species
UGUAUCCAUGGUUAUCCAUGGGCUCUUAAUUGCUCAAUCAUUUAUGUUUUUUAGUUUGAAAAAGGUGGUUGAAAAAUGUAGGAAAAAUGUUUUGAAAAUGAGAAUUUAACUUUGUAAUGAUUCUUGCAUGAAUGUAUACAAAGUGAUUAUCUCGUUUAAUUUUGAAAAUAGUUUAGAAAAAUAUAACUUGGCAAUGAUCCUAGUACGGAUGUAUGCUAAGUGGUGAUUUUCUAAAAAGGAUGUUUGAAAUGUGUGAGGUGUGAAUAGUAUAUUUUUUUUGUUAUGAAUGAGCAAUUAAGGGUUGUACCUGUCCG